CCUACGGGAGGCAGCAGUGAGGAAUUUUGGUCAAUGGGCGCUAGCCUGAACCAGCCAAGUAGCGUGAAGGAUGACUGCCCUAUGGGUUGUAAACUUCUUUUAUAUGGGAAUAAAGUGUAGUAUGUAUACUGCUUUGCAUGUACCUUAUGCAUAAGGAUCGGCUAAAUCUGUGUCAGCAGCCGCGGUAAUACGGAGGGUCCGAGUGUUAUCCGGAUUUAUUGGGUGUAAAGGGAGCGUAGGCGGGGUGUUAAGUCAGUUGUUAAAGUUAGCGGCUUAACCGUAAAAUUGCAGUUGAUACUGGCAUCCUUGAGUACAGUAGAGGGAGGUGGAAUUCGUGGUGGAGCGGUGGAAUGCUUAGAUAUCACGAAGAACACCGAUUGCGAAGGCGGGCUGCUGGACUGUAACUGACGCUGAUGCUCGAAAGUGUGGGGAUCAAACAGGAUUAGAUACCCUUGUAGUC
rnacentral:rRNA from 1 species